AGAGUUUGAUCAUGGCUCAGGAUGAACGCUGGCGGCGUGCUUAACACAUGCAAGUCGAACGCUGAAGCUCCCAGCUUGCUGGGGGUGGAUGAGUGGCGAACGGGUGAGUAUCACGUGAGUAACCUGCCCUUGACUCUGGGAUAAGCCCGGGAAACUGGGUCUAAUACUGGAUAGGACUGGCCAUCGCAUGGUGGUUGGUUGAAAGCUUUUGCGGUUUUGGAUGGACUCGCGGCCUAUCAGCUUGUUGGUGGGGUAAUGGCCUACCAAGGCUUUGACGGGUAGCCGGCCUGAGAGGGUGACCGGCCACACUGGGACUGAGACACGGCCCAGACUCCUACGGGAGGCAGCAGUGGGGGAUAUUGCACAAUGGGCGCAAGCCUGAUGCAGCGACGCCGCGUGAGGGAUGACGGCCUUCGGGUUGUAAACCUCUUUCAGUUGGGAAGAAGCCUUUCGGGGUGACGGUACCUUCAGAAGAAGCACCGGCUAACUACGUGCCAGCAGCCGCGGUAAUACGUAGGGUGCGAGCGUUAUCCGGAAUUAUUGGGCGUAAAGAGCUCGUAGGCGGUUUGUCACGUCUGCUGUGAAAGCUCGGGGCUUAACUCCGAGUGUGCAGUGGGUACGGGCAGGCUGGAGUGCAGUAGGGGAGACUGGAAUUCCUGGUGUAGCGGUGAAAUGCGCAGAUAUCAGGAGGAACACCGAUGGCGAAGGCAGGUCUCUGGGCUGUUACUGACGCUGA
rnacentral:rRNA from 1 species